rnacentral:rRNA from 1 species
AGUGAACGCUGGCGGUAGGCCUAACACAUGCAAGUCGAACGGCAGCACAGUAAGAGCUUGCUCUUACGGGUGGCGAGUGGCGGACGGGUGAGGAAUACAUCGGAAUCUACUUUUUCGUGGGGGAUAACGUAGGGAAACUUACGCUAAUACCGCAUACGACCUACGGGUGAAAGCAGGGGAUCUUCGGACCUUGCGCGAUUGAAUGAGCCGAUGUCGGAUUAGCUAGUUGGCGGGGUAAAGGCCCACCAAGGCGACGAUCCGUAGCUGGUCUGAGAGGAUGAUCAGCCACACUGGAACUGAGACACGGUCCAGACUCCUACGGGAGGCAGCAGUGGGGAAUAUUGGACAAUGGGCGCAAGCCUGAUCCAGCCAUACCGCGUGGGUGAAGAAGGCCUGCGGGUUGUAAAGCCCUUUUGUUGGGAAGAAAAGCAGCAGGUUAAUACCCCGCUGUUCUGACGGUACCCAAAGAAUAAGCACCGGCUAACUUCGUG